CCCCUCCCCAGUUCUGCUGGCUGCCUUCCCCCAGGACCCCUGUGAGAUAAAGCCAGGGAUGACUUGCCUGGGCCUGAGCUGGGGACUGGAAGUGCCUACAGGGAUCUUUCCACUGUUUCUCCUAGUUUUAUAUUUCACUCAGCUCCCUAAAUCUGUUUCAGCUCUGGGUAAGGUUAAAUCCUUCUCCCAUGUUCUGGAAUUUCAGGUUCCCAGUGGUGAUACGUGUUUGGAGGCAGACUUUCCCCCUUCUCGGACUUGGAGAACUCAGUUUUUCAGCUGUCUCAUGGAGUUUGCAGCAGCAAGCCACUUCUUUCAAAGGGUCUGUGAAUCCUUUCAGUUUACUUGGUCUUGCUGAUGCAAGAGGUGAGCCCUCAUGGCCUUGGGCAGCUCUACCCCUGUGGCUCUAUCCCAGCUGCUUUCAUGGGCUCAUGUUGAGUGUCUGCAACUUUUCAAGGUGCCUGGUAAAAGCUGUCUGUGGAUCUACCAUUCUGGAAUCUGGAGGAUGGUAGCCCUCUUCUCACAGCUCCACUAGGCAGUGCCCCAGUGGGAACUCUGUGGGGGGCUGCAACCCCACAUUUUCGUUCUGCACUGCCCUAGUAGAUGUUCUCCAUGAGGGCUCCACCCCCGUAACACACCUCUGCCUGGAUAUCCAAGUAUUUCCUUUCAUCCUCUGAAAUCUAGGUGGAGGUUCCCAAACCUGAAUUCUUGUAUUCUGUACAUCUGCAGGACCAACACCAUGUGGAAGCUGCCAAGACUGGGCGCUCUGGGUCCUGCCAAGAAAACCUUUUUUUUUUUUUUUUUUUUUUUUUUAUUCUAGGCUUAGGACCUGUAAUGGGAAGGGCUGCAGUGAAGGUCUCUGACAUGUCCUGGAGAUAUUUUCCCCAUUGCCUUGGUGAUUAGCAUUUGGCUCCCCAUUACUCAGGCAAAUUUUUGCUGUGGGCUUGAAUUUCUCCCCAGAAAUGGGUUUUUCUUUUCUAUUGCAUCAUUAGGCUACAAAUUUUUCAAACUUUUAUGCCCCGCUUUGUCUUGCACACUUUACCACUUAGAAAUUUCUUCUGCCAGAUAACCUA
rnacentral:lncRNA from 1 species